UACGUAUGGCCGCAAGCUAUACAUGCAGUCGAGCGAAUGGAUUAAGAGCUUGCUCUUAUGAAGUUAGCGGCGGACGGGUGAGUAACACGUGGGUAACCUGCCCAUAAGACUGGGAUAACUCCGGGAAACCGGGGCUAAUACCGGAUAACAUUUUGAACCGCAUGGUUCGAAAUUGAAAGGCGGCUUCGGCUGUCACUUAUGGAUGGACCCGCGUCGCAUUAGCUAGUUGGUGAGGUAACGGCUCACCAAGGCAACGAUGCGUAGCCGACCUGAGAGGGUGAUCGGCCACACUGGGACUGAGACACGGCCCAGACUCCUACGGGAGGCAGCAGUAGGGAAUCUUCCGCAAUGGACGAAAGUCUGACGGAGCAACGCCGCGUGAGUGAUGAAGGCUUUCGGGUCGUAAAACUCUGUUGUUAGGGAAGAACAAGUGCUAGUUGAAUAAGCUGGCACCUUGACGGUACCUAACCAGAAAGCCACGGCUAACUACGUGCCAGCAGCCGCGGUAAUACGUAGGUGGCAAGCGUUAUCCGGAAUUAUUGGGCGUAAAGCGCGCGCAGGUGGUUUCUUAAGUCUGAUGUGAAAGCCCACGGCUCAACCGUGGAGGGUCAUUGGAAACUGGGAGACUUGAGUGCAGAAGAGGAAAGUGGAAUUCCAUGUGUAGCGGUGAAAUGCGUAGAGAUAUGGAGGAACACCAGUGGCGAAGGCGACUUUCUGGUCUGUAACUGACACUGAGGCGCGAAAGCGUGGGGAGCAAAACAGGAUUAUAUACCCCUGGUAGUCCCCCCCGUAAACGAUGAGUGCU
rnacentral:rRNA from 1 species